UACGAAGGGGGCUAGCGUUGCCCGGAAUUAUUGGGCGUAAAGAGCUCGUAGGCGGCUUGUCGCGUCGUCCGUGAAAACUUGGGGCUCAACCCCAAGCUUGCGGUCGAUACGGGCAGGCUCGAGUUCGGUAGGGGAGACUGGAAUUCCUGGUGUAGCGGUGAAAUGCGCAGAUAUCAGGAGGAACACCGGUGGCGAAGGCGGGUCUCUGGGCCGAUACUGACGCUGAGGAGCGAAAGCGUGGGGAGCGAACAGG
rnacentral:rRNA from 1 species